rnacentral:lncRNA from 1 species
GGUACUUUUUGUUUUUGGUUUUUUUGUUUUUGUUUUUGUUUUUUGUUUUUUUGUUUUUUUUGAGACAGGGUUUCUCUGUGUAGCCCUGGCUGUCCUGGAACUCACUCUGUAGACCAGGCUGGCCUCGAACUCAGAAAUCCACCUGCCUCUGCCUCCCGAGUGCUGGGAUUAAAGGCGUGCGCCACCACGCCCGGCUUAUCAGGUACUUUUGUUACUGAACCGUUUCCCUAGCCCGCCACUCUAUGGUUGAGACGAGGUCUCUCACCAGAGCCAGUAGUAUGCUGUUUUGGCUAGACCGGCUAGCCAGCUCGCCUCCUGAAUGAUUCUGUCCCUGCUUCUCCAGUGCUGGGAUUACGUGUAUGCACCACUGAGACUGACUAUUCGCAAGUUCUGGGCCUUGAACUCAGCUCCUCACAACUUUGCGGCAAGCUCUUUGUCAACGGAGCCACACCCCCUCGCCUUAGAGACACUUGAUUGGUAUAGUUGGUUUGUUCCUGGCAUCUAGUGGAGAGAGGCCUGGGAUGGUGCCUCCUGGCUGGUUUCUCGUGUCAAUCUGAUACAAGCUAGAGAGAGAGGGGGAGGAGCCUCAGUUGGAGAAAUGCCUCCAGGAAAUCCAGCUGCAAGGCAUUUUCUCAAUUAGUGAUCAGUGUGGGAGGGCCCUGCCCAUUGUGGGUAAUGUCAUCCCUGGGCUGGUAGCCCUAGGUUCUGUAAGAAAGCAGGCUGAGCAAGCCCUGGGAAGCAAGCCAGUAAGCAGCAUCCCCGAAUGACCUCUGCAUCAGCUUCUGCCUCCAGGCUCUAGCCCUGCUUGAGUUCCUGAGUUCUGACUUCCUUCAAUGAGAGGUUAUGGAAAUGUGAGCAGACCCCCCCCCCCAACAAUAGAAACCUUAACUAGGACAUCCAUCAGGGUCUGGACCACAAAAAAUUGCCUCAGGGUGAAUGUUGCUAGUGACAUGUGGAGCUAGCUUCUCUUCUGGUCUCUCCUCCAUCUCUGGCGUCUCCCAUUGCCCACCUACCUCAUCCUAGCUGCUUGUCUCCCUUCCUACAGCUGCUCUCUGCUGCCCCCUCCUGGCACCGCCUUCCCAGCCUUGGUGGGAGAUGAGCAGACAGGGGUCAGGAUCCAGAGCCUUCUGACUUACACCAUAACCUUCUAGAGUCUUCUACAGGCUUCUCUCCAGCCCUGGCUGGCUUCUUCCUCCU